rnacentral:rRNA from 1 species
UACGAAGGGUGCAAGCGUUAAUCGGAAUUACUGGGCGUAAAGGGCUCGUAGGCGGCCAACUAAGUCGGAUGUGAAAUCCCCAGGCUUAACCUGGGAACUGCAUCCGAUACUGGAUGGCUUGAAUCCGGGAGAGGGAUGCGGAAUUCCAGGUGUAGCGGUGAAAUGCGUAGAUAUCUGGAGGAACACCGGUGGCGAAGGCGGCAUCCUGGACCGGCAUUGACGCUGAGGAGCGAAAGCCAGGGGAGCAAACGGG